rnacentral:rRNA from 1 species
GACGAACGCUGGCGGCGUGCUUAACACAUGCGAGUCGAACGGAAAGGCCCUGCUUUUGUGGGGUGCUCGAGUGGCGAACGGGUGAGUAACACGUGAGUAACCUGCCCUUGACUUUGGGAUAACUUCAGGAAACUGGGGCUAAUACCGGAUAGGAGCUCCUGCUGCAUGGUGGGGGUUGGAAAGUUUCGGCGGUUGGGGAUGGACUCGCGGCUUAUCAGCUUGUUGGUGGGGUAGUGGCUUACCAAGGCUUUGACGGGUAGCCGGCCUGAGAGGGUGACCGGCCACAUUGGGACUGAGAUACGGCCCAGACUCCUACGGGAGGCAGCAGUGGGGAAUAUUGCACAUUGGGCGGAAGCCUGAUGCAGCAACGCCGCGUGCGGGAUGACGGCCUUCGGGUUGUAAACCGCUUUCGCCUGUGACGAAGCGUGAGUGACGGUAAUGGGUAAAGAAGCACCGGCUAACUACGUG